rnacentral:rRNA from 1 species
ACCUGCGGAAGGAUCAUUAUCGAAUAAACUUGAACAGGCUGUUGCUGGUCUUCCUUGAGGGGGACAUGUGCACGCUUGUCAUCUUUAUAUCUCCAACUGUGCACAUAUUGUAGACGUGGAGUCGUCUUUGUUGAUUCAUUUCGAGUUGGCACUGCAGCGCUCACAAAACCUGCUUUGCCUUUUGCAUUUCCAGGUCUAUGUCAUUUUCACAACCUCAAUGUGUUUAGAAUGUUGAAUCAGGUCAUACGUACCUAUAAAGUUAAAUAUACAACUUUCAGCAACGGAUCUCUUGGCUCUCGCAUCGAUGAAGAACGCAGCGAAAUGCGAUAAGUAAUGUGAAUUGCAGAAUUCAGUGAAUCAUCGAAUCUUUGAACGCAUCUUGCGCUCCUUGGUAUUCUGAGGAGCAUGCCUGUUUGAGUGUCAUUUCAAGUUCUCAACUGCAUCGAUUUAUUAUUGAUGUGGCUUGGAUGUGGGGGAUAUGUUUUUGCAGGCUUCUUUCUGUCAAAGGAGGUCGGCUCCCCUGAAAAAUAUUAGUGGUAUCUGAGCAGAAGAAACUACUACAGGUGUGAUAAUUAUGUAUGCCUUCAGUAUGCUGCAUAAAAAACAGAUUACACUGCUUCUAACGCGUGAAAACACUUCUAAAUUGAUGAAUUGACCUCA